rnacentral:rRNA from 1 species
GGGUUGUAAACUACUUUUAUACAGGAAGAAACACUGGUAUGUAUACCAGCUUGACGGUACUGUAAGAAUAAGGACCGGCUAACUCCGUGCCCGCCGCCGC